UACGUAGGGUGCGAGCGUUAUUCGGAAUUACUGGGCGUAAAGCGUGCGCAGGCGGUGAUGUAAGACAGAUGUGAAAUCCCCGGGCUCAACCUGGGAACUGCAUUUGUGACUGCAUGGCUGGAGUGCGGCAGAGGGGGAUGGAAUUCCGCGUGUAGCAGUGAAAUGCGUAGAUAUGCGGAGGAACACCGAUGGCGAAGGCAAUCCCCUGGGCCUGCACUGACGCUCAUGCACGAAAGCGUGGGGAGCAAACAGG
rnacentral:rRNA from 1 species